GUCGAGGGGCAGCAUUUUAGUUUGCUUGCAAACUAAAGAUGGCGACCGGCGCACGGGUGAGUAACACGUAUCCAACCUGCCGAUAACUCGGGGAUAGCCUUUCGAAAGAAAGAUUAAUAUCCGAUGGUAUAUUAAAACCGCAUGGUUUUACUAUUAAAGAAUUUCGGUUAUCGAUGGGGAUGCGUUCCAUUAGUUUGUUGGCGGGGUAACGGCCCACCAAGACUACGAUGGAUAGGGGUUCUGAGAGGAAGGUCCCCCACAUUGGAACUGAGACACGGUCCAAACUCCUACGGGAGGCAGCAGUGAGGAAUAUUGGUCAAUGGACGAGAGUCUGAACCAGCCAAGUAGCGUGAAGGAUGACUGCCCUAUGGGUUGUAAACUUCUUUUAUAUGGGAAUAAAGUAUUCCACGUGUGGAAUUUUGUAUGUACCAUAUGAAUAAGGAUCGGCUAC
rnacentral:rRNA from 1 species